rnacentral:rRNA from 1 species
AUUGAACGCUGGCGGCAGGCCUAACACAUGCAAGUCGAACGAGUGGCGGACGGGUGAGUAAUGUCUGGGAAACUGCCUGAUGGAGGGGGAUAACUACUGGAAACGGUAGCUAAUACCGCAUACCAUCGGAUGUGCCCAGAUGGGAUUAUCUAGUAGGGGGGGUAACGGCUCACCUAGGCGACGAUCCCUAGCUGGUCUGAGAGGAUGACCAUCCACACUGGAUCUGCGACGCCGUCCAGACUCCUACGGUAUGCAUCAGUGGUGAAUAUUGCACAAUGGGCGCAAGCCUUCUGCAGCCCUGCCGCGUGUAUGAAGAAGGCCUUCGGGUUGUACAGUACUUUCAGCGGGGAGGCGUUACCCGCAGAAGAAGCACCGGCUAACUCCGUGCCAGCAGCCGCGGUAAUAC